rnacentral:rRNA from 1 species
GAUGAACGCUGGCGGCGUGCCUAAUACAUGCAAGUCGAGCGAACGGACGAGAAGCUUGCUUCUCUGAUGUUAGCGGCGGACGGGUGAGUAACACGUGGAUAACCUACCUAUAAGACUGGGAUAACUUCGGGAAACCGGAGCUAAUACCGGAUAAUAUUUUGAACCGCAUGGUUCAAAAGUGAAAGACGGUCUUGCUGUCGCUUAUAGAUGGAUCCGCGCUGCAUUAGCUAGUUGGUAAGGUAACGGCUUACCAAGGCAACGAUGCAUAGCCGACCUGAGAGGGUGAUCAGCCACACUGGAACUGAGACACGGUCCAGACUCCUACGGGAGGCAGCAGUAGGGAAUCUUCCGCAAAGGGCGAAAGCCUGACGGAGCAACGCCGCGUGAGUGAUGAAGGUCUUCGGAUCGUAAAACUCUGUUAUUAGGGAAGAACAUAUGUGUAAGUAACUGUGCACAUCUUGACGGUACCUAAUCAGAAAGCCACGGCUAACUACGUG